rnacentral:rRNA from 1 species
AGUGAACGCUGGCGGUAGGCCUAACACAUGCAAGUCGAACGGCAGCACAGUAAGAGCUUGCUCUUACGGGUGGCGAGUGGCGGACGGGUGAGGAAUACAUCGGAAUCUACUUUUUCGUGGGGGAUAACGUAGGGAAACUUACGCUAAUACCGCAUACGACCUACGGGUGAAAGCAGGAGAUCUUCGCACCUUGCGCGAUUGAAUGAGCCGAUGUCGGAUUAGCUAGUUGGCGGGGUAAAGGCCCACCAAGGCGACGAUCCGUAGCUGGUCUGAGAGGAUGAUCAGCCACACUGGAACUGAGACACGGUCCAGACUCCUACGGGAGGCAGCAGUGGGGAAUAUUGGACAAUGGGCGCAAGCCUGAUCCAGCCAUACCGCGUGGGUGAAGAAGGCCUUCGGGUUGUAAAGCCCUUUUGUUGGGAAAGAAAAGCAGCAGGUUAAUACCCCGCUGUUCUGACGGUACCCAAAGAAUAAGCACCGGCUAACUUCGUG